rnacentral:rRNA from 1 species
UACGGAGGGUGCGAGCGUUGUCCGGAAUCACUGGGCGUAAAGGGCGCGUAGGUGGCCCGUUAAGUGGCUGGUGAAAUCCCGGGGCUCAACUCCGGGGCUGCCGGUCAGACUGGCGAGCUAGAGCACGGUAGGGGUAGAUGGAAUUCCCGGUGUAGCGGUGGAAUGCGUAGAGAUCGGGAGGAACACCCGUGGCGAAGGCGGCCAACUGGGCCGGACCUGACGCUGAGGCGCGAAGGCGUGGGGAGCGAACGGG